GACGAACCGUGCGAACGUUGUUCGGAAUCACUGGGCUUAAAGGGCGCGUAGGCGGGCUGACAAGUCUGGGGUGAAAUCCCGCGGCUCAACCGUGGAACUGCCUUAGAUACUGUCGGCCUCGAGGAAGGUAGGGGCAUGCGGAACUGUAGGUGGAGCGGUGAAAUGCGUUGAUAUCUACAGGAACUCCGGUGGCGAAAGCGGCGUGCUGGACCUUUUCUGACGCUGAGACACGAAAGCCAGGGGAGCGAACGGG
rnacentral:rRNA from 1 species